GACGAACGCUGGCGGCGUGCUUAACACAUGCAAGUCGAACGGAAAGGCCCUGCUUUUGUGGGGUGCUCGAGUGGCGAACGGGUGAGUAACACGUGAGUAACCUGCCCUUGACUUUGGGAUAACUUCAGGAAACUGGGGCUAAUACCGGAUAGGAGCUCCUGCUGCAUGGUGGGGGUUGGAAAGUUUCGGCGGUUGGGGGUGGACUCGCGGCUUAUCAGCUUGUUGGUGGGGUAGUGGCUUACCAAGGCUUUGACGGGUAGCCGGCCUGAGAGGGUGACCGGAGAAAGUGGGAAGGAGAGAAGGCCGAGGAGCAGGGGGGAGGAAGAAGGGGGGAAGAGGGAAAAAGGGGAGGAAGCAGGAGGGAGAAAGGGAGGGUGAGGGAGGAGGGGGGAGGGGUGGGAAAAAGAGGGCGCCGGUGAGGAAGAGGGAGGGAAGGGAAGGGGUAAAGAAGAAAGGGAAAAAGAAGGG
rnacentral:rRNA from 1 species